rnacentral:lncRNA from 1 species
UACGGGGGUCUCGCUGAGCUUACGGUAUAUAUUAGUUACCGUGUCUGUUUUAUUUUGGGUCUUGUUUUGGGCCUAUUUUGGGUCCAGUCUGUUUGGUUGUAUAUAUAUACACCUUAUUUUAGUCUGUAAACCAUUCCGAUUACAACCCUAAUAAAAUUUGGUUUCCUCCAAGUUGUUCUUGUCUUUUCUUGUUUGUUCUUCUGUUCCGCUGCAUCUGUUAUAACACCAGAUUAUGCUGCAAAGUUCCUAAGAAAAAAAAAAUGAUUAUACAUACUAUUGAAUUCAUGAUACGUUAGUUAUUACUACCAUUAAUAUAAAUAUCUUUAUUUAUUGGACACUCAUUAACACACCUAUAUUUCACCCAACCUAUCAUGUAUAUAUAUACUACUUUUUCUUGCAUUUAUAUAUUUUUUCUAAUUAAUCCCCUUGCAUUUAUAUAUUUUUCCUAAUUAGUCUUGUAUUUUUAAAAAUAUAAUAUUUGAAAUAUAUUUUAACGAGUACCCGUAAGGGACCUAUUAAAUAAACCAUUAUUUAUUAGGAUGCAACGCAUGAACGUUAAUCACUCUAUUAUAUAUCCCGUAUAGAUUACUAUUAUUUGAAAUUUUUUUAAAAAAAUAUACUGUAACGAUUUAAUGCAUGUUAGGUGCAAAAAUAAAGAAAAAAUAAAUUCACAAAAAAUCUAAAAAUAUUUUGAGAAAAAAUGAUAAUCCAAACAAGGUCGUCGAUCAUAGAACACAUACAUAUUGAAUCAUAUUGAUAGCCAGAAACUUCAACCAUCCUUUAUUUCUGAUUAUCUUUUCCACCAUUUGUUGUCCCCAAACUCAUGCGUGUGGCUUUCUCGUCAUGCCUCCAAAUUGGAACAACAGAUCGAGUGGAAAUUAUUAUGCUUCCCAGUAGGCGUAGGCGUAGCUAACAGAGACUAUUUCCGAUGAGUAAGACUAAGAUCCCAUCUGUACGAAAGGGCAGACAAUGAGUUACAUGAAAUAUUGAGUCGGGAUUUUGCCACUAAUACGACAAAAAAUACACAGACAAACAUUUCUAGUAGGAGUAGACUACGUAUUUCUUACGCAAUCUUCAAAGAGAGAACUUUUCAUAUAACUGAAACAAGGGUUAAUAAAACAAGAAGAAGAAGAAGAAGAAGAAGAAUAAAACUAUGCACCAUCCAUCAAAAUGCUUUACCGGUGAACAGUAUUGCCAAAGCAGUCGCCUUGGCUUGAAGAUAACUUAUUCGUAUUCAAUUUAGUUAGUAAGUCCUUCUGGGUCAGGAUUCAGGCCCAUCUGUAAAAUAGCGGUGCUUUAUUUUAUUUUGUGGUGGCUCACCACUUAUCAACCACCACUGCAUUGUUAAUUUGUGCCUGACAAAGCUUGUUGGACACUUGCUUCUUCAGAGUAAGAUACGCAUGCAAAGCUUCAAGCAGGAUACCCUUGUGGGCAUGGUCUCAAAGUUGCAAUUCUUGCUGUUGUGUCACCAUAGCCUUUGGCGAUGCCAUUAAGAAAUUUUUGGCCCCAGUUCUCUCUCCACUUCACUCAGCUAGUUACAUUCAUAAGCACUAACCAAUACUUCAAAAAAAAAAAAAAAAAAAACCAAAACACUGGGUUACUUUUUCACUUCUCUCAGUCAUCUCUGUAGCCGCCAAAGGCAAAACAAAAUGGGGGAAGUUGCUGCUUUAUGAUAUCUAAAGGUCUUUGAUCAUAGAUGAUAGAACACAAGUGCUUUAAAUUUCCAGGGAGUCUUGAAUAUGGUGCGUACCACGUAUUUGCGUCUGCAAGUGUCCAACCAUGUAGCUGGUACUUGCUGUAUUGCUGGCAUGAAUUUAAGGAAGCCUUUUGCUUCCCAUAACUAAUGUACGGAUGCGAUGUCGUGUUUCUUUAACUGAGCGAGUUUCAGUACAUAACCUACCCCACCACUCUUAAGAUUUGAGCUUCCAGCCUCCCUCGUCCUGCAGAACAACCUUCCCCACCUCUCUACGGCUUAUUGAGGGAGAGCAGAGCAGAGGAUGUGAUGCGAGAUUUUACAUUGCAAGUAUGCUGCGAAUAAGAAAUGGGAAACGAUCAGAGAAUAAGAGAAUAAACAAAAUACUAACAAUUUCUCCACAAGCCGCCUGGGGACUCGAAAUGAUUUAUACAUAAAAAAUCGUGUAAAAAGAUUCUAUAAUAAAUUUACAACACCGCGUUGCCCCCAUUUUCCCUAAUUGCGGAUUGAAAAAACUACCGAAUCCGUCCCCUAUACAAUUAAAGCUACAAUUUUCUAGCAAGAACUUCACAACUGAGUAAACCAUCCACGGAAUUUGCAGACCUCCCAGCACCCAAGACUGGAACAAGGUUGAAUAUGGGGUCGGUGGCGGUCUUUCUUUUUGGGUUUUGCUCAGCGAAUUCACUGAAUACCCUGGUAAAAAUUAAUAACAAUUCUGCAUGAGAGAUGUGAAGCCUUGUUGCAAAAUAGAGCCUGAAAGUCUGCAGAAAGAAACGGAUGGUUAGACAAUCUGCAAUUUGACGCCGUAUGCAGAAAAUCACGGUACAGAUGCAAGUGAUUAGUGCCAAUCCAAGGAAAAUCCCUAAAUUGAAGAUUGUUACUUUGUUAAUGCAAAAGUAUCUUACCGUGACAUCAUCCCAAGAGAAACGGUUCUCUAAUAGAAACGCAUCCAGAAGAUAAACACAAAAUUUUGCUAUUCCCUCAAUCUGGUUCUCAACAAGGGUAUUACAGCCUGCACCAUCUUGAAGAAGGAACUUGGAACAGAUCUUUCCCACAAUAUCUUGUGUCACGGAUAAGACGGCAGCACAAAGUCUCCCAGGCACAACACAUUUCUGCAGGCAUUCAUCAUGCCAGUUUUCAUGCUGGAAACCACAAUAAUCUUGUGCCACAUAACUAACUUCACCAGCCUUGUUAUUAAGAGUUCCUUUAUUGCCCAGCACAUAAAGCACAGGCUUUACUUCUACAAGAGCCCUGCAUAGAAGAAAUAAUGCCUUUCUUAGGAUAAAAAAUUGUGUAUGUUGGCUGAAGCAAUUGUCAGAAGGAGAUAUAGCUAUUAAUUAGGAAAGCUUUCAUUAGAUGCCACGGCCAAGUCAUCUGCGAACUUUAGAUUCAUUUCUUGAUGCAAAUAUUCACUUGUAACAUACCUAAUUCAAUGGAUAGAUGUCAUUCUUAUUAAUGGACAGAAACAGUCGAACAAGCAACAGAAAGAGACUGCAUUGUAGUGUGUUUCAUUUACUUUUAUUGUUCUCUCCUUUCGUGAUACGAAGUACCGAUAUGUGCAUCAUUAUUGUCAUAUCUAUACAUAAUUUUAUCCCAUUCCCCUCCUCAACCCUUCUCAACAGAUUAAAAUACCCCUACAUCCCCUCUCAGCUAUUAAAAACAUCUGCUACCAACUAAUAAAAACAUGCAAAGAAAAGUUGUCUCCAAUACUCAACAAGCUUUGUAGUAAUUAUAAAGGGAAGGAAAAUAAAUAGCACCUUUUUGGCAGAUCUGGAACCAGAACAUAUAAAAAAAUAGGAUCAAGCACGUCAGAUGAGCAUCGAUUGUCGGAAUCAUUUAACUUCAUUUCCUUAAUAAAUAAGUUUGUCUUCUCAAGGGCAAUUCGGUCAGAUUCAUUCAUUGAAGCUGAGCAGUAUAUGACAAAUAGAAUAGCGGAUGUAGCUAUUGAACAGUUAAAGCAUUUUGCUAUUGCUUCACUAUUUUCCAAUGCUUGCUUGAGCUCAACUGUAGGACCUCCACUAGAAAGCAGCAUCGUUGGUGGGUCAAGACCCAAUUGACCUGCCAUGUAGAGAAUAUCCUUGUGCAGCGUUGCCUGGCAAAGGGGAAAAUGUACGCUUGUCACUUCAUGGCUUAAGUUAAGCAUUAUUAAAGCCAACUGGUUAUGCAAUCUAAAUUUGCAUGCUGACAUAAUUAAACUCGCACUCUCUAACAUGACGCUGUAACUGGACAUAAACACUAAACUGAAUUCAGCACAUGAACUUUAGUGUAACUUAGCAGACAACUUCUCAAUGACAUAAAAUCGCUAUAAGACACAUCAAAACCAGUAAAUUCAUAGGUCAAAUUGUUCAAUAUGAUUAAAAUCAUAAGCCAAUUGAACUUUCUAAUUAUUAAUGCUUUGACCAGACAUACUCUAUACGAUUGACAUAAUGCAUUGCCUAUGCUAUUGUAAACUGAAGUUACUAAACAACUGCAUUUUUUUUUAAUAAGGUAGUUUAAUCUAUUAUUCGAAGCAUACAGCACUAGAAGCCUAAAUAAAUACAGGAUUUCUUAGUACAAGCUCUCAUACAUAUUCUUCUCAUUCUGCAUAUGGUACUGAGAAAAGUCUAACAAAAAAGGAAUUGAUUAGUAGGCAAAAGGUGGGCUCAAACAGAACAGAACCAAGCACCCAAAUCCGAAGUACUACAAAGUGCCAAUUUUAUAUACUUAAAGGAGAAAGCAGAAAAUGUGACAACCAAGGUAAUUGAAAAGAAAAGAUUAGUUUUAUGACCUGACUAUAAGGACCAAUGCAACUAGGAGCCCAGUCAGAUAUACUCUGCACGUGCAAAACUCUUUUAGUUUCAUCAUUGGCAACCAACACUUCAAUAUAUGCCAUCCCUAAACCAACUUGUGAUAGAGGAAGCUCAACUGUGGAGCGUGAUGGUACGCCAAAACGGCACUUAUCUUGAGUAAUGAAUCUGAUGUAUGUUUCAUUUGCAACUGCAAAUUUAUUCAUAUCAGCAAUGUAAAGAUGAAUAUAAAAUACAUUCUCCCAGGAGUAACAACAUUCAGCAAGUUGCAAUUCGAUUUUCAUGAGAACAUACUCCAAAUCUGCCUGCAGAUCUGUCAAAUUUAAAUUUAAAAAGAAGUAUUAGACAUGUAAAACUGUUUUGAUGCAAUUCUUAAGCUUAUACUGUAAAUACAUCUACUAACCUCCUGAAGUUUUAGAUGAAUCUUGCAACCAGCAUGAGAUAGAAAAAGUAUUAUCCAUUUUGGUUCUUGAAAUCUGGAGUUCCUGACUAUUAACAUCUACAAAUUUGCUGGCAGGAUGAUUAGACAUACUAAUGUUUUCACAUCUUUGUUGACAAUCUCCUUGGACUUCACAUACCAAAUCAAAUUCAUCAUCGUUUUUGUUACUUUUGCCCAAGGGCACAGUUUCUGCUCUUUUCUCCAAGUGGAAUGCCAAAGGAUGAAGGAUGCCAACGGGACAUAUGGGAUCUUUUGAAUGCAAGACAAUUUGAAAUUCAUCUAGCACAAUGCGGGCAUUCUGAAAAAAGUUCAUUGCAUCAAACGACAUUUUAUGUCUUCCCCCCCCCCCCCCCAAAAAAAAAAAAAAAAACCCAAAAAUGGGUGGGGCGGAGACAAAGAAACUAAAGCUGUACAGAACAAACUUGGUAAAAGCAUUUGGUAAAUUAUACUGAACAACUUAGUGGGUAUAAACUAGAUGUUCCAGAGAUCAGUAUCAAAGAACUUACGACUCCGUAAGUAAUGAGAGAAGUAUACAGUAAGAUAGGACAGCAGUAAAGACAUGUUCGAAAAGAAGAGUGUCCACUCACUUUAAAGAGGGGACAAUCAAGAGUUAAUGUUUCAUAUUCUCCUCCUUCACCACAAACAUUAAGUCCAUAUAGCCUGCCAGAUUUGUUGGUAAAACAACUUGGUAUCCCCUGUAUCUCAAGUACAAUAAAUAAAAAUUUUCUCAUAAUUAACCCGACAUACUCUUUCAGCUUAUGAAGAUGUGGUUCCAACCAUGAUAUUUCUUUCCCCAAGUGUUUUGAAGGAUCCAAACCCAUGGCUGCAACCUGAAAAAUCAAGAGGUCAGGUUACAGUGAAUCAUAGCAGAAACGCUUGCACAGGGACCUGUGCCAAUUUUACAAAAAUUAAAUGUAUAAAUUAUUCGUUUCUGAUAAGUAAAAGCUACAAUGAUUCAAUUUCACCUCAAGAAAACCGUAAAUUUAUGUAAAUGUGUCCUAUAUAUAUAUAUAUAUAUAUAUAUAUAUAUAUAUAUCGCAUCUAAAGGCACAUACUUUCUUGUGCCACUUUACUUCCAUCCACCAUUUGUUUCCUUCGAAAAUUGAUGCAGAAGACAAUAAAAAGUGUAUGCAGAAAAAGUCAAAUAGUAAUAUAGAAUAGAAAUACAUCAAUGCACCUACUAUACCUUUACUGUGAUGGCAACAAUUCCAGCUUUAAUCUGGGGGACACAUACAAAAUUAUUUAGAGUUGAUAACUAGAAAUACCAAAAAUCUGUCUUUAAUAUAGAUAAAAUCAUAUUACCAUGUCUCCAAGGAGUAAUGACUGGUCUUGCUUCCAUAAAUAUGCCAAAGAAACAAGUCCUAACCUUGAACACACACUUUCGACCCGCAGUCUUUGAUAAUCAGAUGCAAUUGCACCAGAAGACACAGCAGCAACAGAGGGUAUCUGUUGUUUCACUUCAUUUAACAAGAUGAACAUAUCCUCAACCUCAUCCCCAGGUGUGGUACUGUAGGUGAGGCCAUGGUGCCUGAAAUCCAACAUUCAAUUAGAAAAAAGAGAUUAUAUUCCAAGGCAUCAAUGUUUUACAUGACUCCCAAUUAAAAUGAUCAAUCUCCAAUUUCUUCACCAAUAGCAAAAAUGAUCACACUCGAAAAUAUUUUGACAUAGUAAGAAAAACUAAGGGUACUAAUACAAAAAAAAAAAAAAAAUAACCAACUGUGAACGUAAUAAAGAUUGAUAACUUUAGAAUUAAUGUAAUCCUAAAAGGAUUGUAUAUUCCUCAAACAUGAUAUUGCUUAUACCCAAAAAGAAAUUUCCAUUUAAGCGGCUUGCCUUGUGGAUCCUUGUAUUCGCCUUCUAAAUAAUGGAAGACCCAUGCAUUUUGCAUAGCUAACGACUAUCUGGUGCCCAACCUGCAAAUUAAAUCUGGAAAAUGAAUUCUAAUAUCUAUUGUUUAAUAUGUCAUGAUGAAGAAAAUAAUUAAAUAUCAAGAGAUCUACUACUUGAUUGUAUCAAUCAGUUUUCUAAGGAAAAUCUUUUCCUUUUGAUCACAUUUUAUAAAUUAGUGAUAAAACCAUCCUCAUCUCAAAUCCCACUCUGUCUCCACCCCCUACCCCAGAAAGAGGAAAACAAAAGGAGGAAACUCAAUGCAUAGUGUAAUGGUCAAUGUGGAACAAAAAACCAAUCCCAAAAAUAAAAUAAAAUAAAUAACUAGCGAAACUGCACAAUAAUAUUUAGUUACCACUCAAAGACGCUUUAAAAAGCCACAAACUCAAUUUCAGCAAAUUGUCCACCAUAGCAGCACUUGUUAAACUAGUUUUCACUAAUUCAAUAUCCCACAGUUCAAUCACACAUUUAUACUUCCUAGUACACCAAAUUCUUUCCAGUUCAUAAACAAACUAUUGUCAAAAGCAAAUGACAUUUUUUUUUUUAAUAUGCAAACAUUUGCCAAGCAGGAAAUUACACCACAAUUGCAAAGCAUAAUGUUUAGCCGCAUAUUGACUCAGUUUCACAUGUCUUAGUUGAGAUAAAAAAACUGUAAAUUCUAAGCACAACUAAUCAAAUCAAAAUAUGUAAACAACUGAUUAAAAUCAUUUCUACGAAAAAUGUCUUACAGUUUGAUACAUGUAGCUAUCGAGCUCGUCCUCCGCAUCAUCAGACGGCAGUAAGUUUGCCAACGCAACAAUCUGCUUGUCACCAAUUAAUAUCCACCUCUUUUUAAUCAUUCAGGUGUAUAUAGCAUAUAAAAGAGAGAGGAAAAAAGGAUGGAGAAAAGAGAGAAGGCGAAUGCCGUGUACCUCAUGACCAUAUGCGAGGCAUUUCAUCAUGGCAUAGCAGCUAUCUUUGCCGCCACUCACUAGAGCCACCACCUUCAUCUCCACCGGCUGCCGGAAAUCGAUGACGCCGACCGAUUCACUACUACCUCUAGUCUAGGGCUGCCCUUCUAAUUAGUAGUAUUUGACUUGAGAGUGGAAAAAGUACCCAGACGUACUAAUGCACGGCACGGACAAGCUCGCCCAUUGCUUUACGACCAGUCCGAGAUCAUAACUUCCUUCUCAAAUUACAUUUCUACCCUGACUAUGGGCCUAAAACCCGUCAACUACGAUUUUAACACCGUGGGCUGGGGCCGAUAGCAUUUAUCGGCCCGGUGGUACGCGUAACAUUCUCCAACCUAAAAUUCUCUGUAAAUUUUUAUUAACUGCGCUGUCGAUUGAGCCGUCUUCCGUAUAAAUGUUGUUGUUGAUUACAAUUACAGUGGAUAAAUUAUGGUGUAAAGUGUUUAAAAUAAAAUUUUAAGUUACAAAGUGAGAAUGAGAUACAAGUUUUAAAUACAAGAGUUAGUUAUAUUUCAAUCAUCUUAAACAUUUAUGCAAAUAAUGAUUUAGUGACUAAAACUGAAGAUUAAAUCUAGGUAUUAGAGCAGUCUUGAGUUUAAAUCUCCCCCACUUCCUCAUCUAAUUGCUUGGAAAAACAGAAAAAAAAAGUGAUGAGCAAUUAAUUACACGACCAAGGACAUAUCUAAGUGACAUGACCAGCAUUUAUGCAACAAGUGACGAGCAUUUAUACAAAAAAGGUUUUUUGAUUAUUUUCUCUCAAUUCGAAAAUUUAACGAACACUCUCAAUUUAGCGAAUCGAAAUACUUACAACCGAAACUGAUGCUUCAUUUUACUUCCCUGUUCGGUAACAUUUUAAUAUUUUUUUGGGCACGAUUUUCAACUUUAAUUUUAAUUUUGUUGGUAACGUUUUGGUUGCCAAUCCUGUUCCGCCCUUUCAAAGAGCGCAUGAUUGUAUUCUACUAGAGCCAGUUCUCCAAUUUCGUUAACUUAAUUGCACAUGAUCUGAGGUUAUUUUGUUUUGACACCGACCCGGUUUGUUUGGAAAAGAAAUAUUUUUUGUGGUGUGAUACAUGUGAGAUAAAAGGUAAUUGAAAAUCUUGCAAUCCAAACAAACCGUCAGACUCUAUUUGGUUUUAUGAAAAUCGUGUAGCAGUGAUUGACGGGCCGCCAGAUCAUCAGAUGGUAGAGAGCAGGGGUGCUUCAUGUUCUAACCGUUGACACUGUAAGCUCGGCUGCGCAUUGACCGAGGUGAUAGCAACAAAUUGGCCUGAUUCAAUGGUCUCGAGAUAAGAAUUCAGAGAUGCUACAUUACAUGCAACAAUUAAUAUAAUUUACAUACAACAAUAUAAUUUAAGAUUGACCCCACCUGUUAGUCUGGCACAGCACCCGUAACAAAUGAAUUUAUAUUCACAUCCAUCAGAAAGACCAGCAAUAGUUCAAUCAAAGUAAGCGAACAACAACAUCAUCAUUACACAAAAUCCACGGCACAAAACUAAGAAAAACCGCUACAGAGACUCAAAAUCUUAGAAAAUUUAAAGACAAAAAGGAUCAGCACGAGAUACGUAACCUGAGUUCUGACCACGCUACAACUUGAAAAGAAGUAUUGAGUGAAGGACUAGAGUUUGGCACUAGAGAACAAUUAUUCAAGAUAUUUGCCUUACAACUAAUAAGAGAAAACACCAGAGAUAGAUAAUAACUUAACGCAAAGCUUUUUCGGUUAUCACCUAAUUUCCAAGUGGGCCUACCUCCCCAAGUGUCCUAACAUUCUAACCAGGGACUUCCACCUAACAAGGAAAUUUUCGCAAUUCCUCAGCUUGGCAAGCUCGUCACCAUCAGAUCAAAUGAACAUUUCCUUCUGGCUGCAUCAGAAAGAUCUUUGGACAUUUUGAACAGCAAUGCUGGUUUUCUCCCGACGAUCUGCCUGCAAAUCAACUGGUAUCAGCCGGAUGGCAAGCUUGUAAUGAAAGAAUUCAGUACAGACACCUGAAAUUACAAGAAAAAUCCAUGUCAUAUAUCAUGUGAAUUUCGCAUCUGCAUUUGUUCUUUCCAAGCACUCAAUAUUCAAAAUACUGCCCACAGUUUUGCAAUUAAACAUUUGGUGCAAAUACUUGUUAUCUGUAUCAACUGUUAGAGCUAGUCGGUUGAUAUUCAAAUAAUAACCAAGCUCCAAGUAUACUUGAAAAAAGUUGGAUAUUAAGGCACAGUUCAUCUGUCCUUUCACUAUGCCCUUAAUAAUUAGUACUUGAACGAGUUCCUGCUGUGCCUAAUCAACACGGUACAACUACUUUUCACACGGCGAAUCAAUUAAUGCCCUGCUGCUGCCAGCCACUAUUACGAUGAAGCACAAAUCUCUCAAUUUCUUACACUCUACUUUGGCAUGACAUUAAGCACAAAUCUCUCAAUCUCUCAAACCCGCGCCCCCCCCCCCCCCCCCUCCCCCAAAAAAAAAAAACUGAAAAGAAAAAAAGGACCUCACAAAAAAGGCUUUUAUCAAGUCUCUUCACUAUAUUGUUUUGCACAAAGUACUUGAAACAAAAUAUAGAAUGUCAUGGGGGUGAACUGGAUUGAAUCCACCACUAUUUAUUUUAAGCAUAUCAUGCUUAGUCAACGCUAUAUAAAUCAGGAUAUCAUAAUGCAGCAUGCUGGCAACUGACUUGAAUCCAUCACUGUUCAUUCUAAGUAUAUCAUGCUUUGCUAAUGCCAUAUCAAUCAGCAUAUCAUAAUGCAUCUUACCCACUGAAACUCAAAAUGGAGCCUCAAGUGAUUCAUCCCAAACAUCUGCACUUCCAUUAGAGGCAUCCUCCGCAUCUUCCUCCAUUGAGAGCCUAAUAUAUUCUCGGUGGGCAAAACGAUCCCACUCUGUCAAUGUUGGGUUCUCACGCUCCUGUUAACAUAAAGGAAGAAUAAAGGUGGCAAUUAUCACAUUACAUAAUGUGCAUCCCAAAAUUAUCACAUUAAUUAUAUUAUGCAUAUCUCAAAUUGCAACAAAGUCCCAGGUAUACUGGAACUUUUGCUUGACUAUAAGCAAACCAAAUGACUGAACUACCUGACGGAUUAGAAAAGGAUCACGGGUCUCAAAUGCCAUGAACUUAUUGAGGUUGAAAAGGAUAUUGAAUACACUGCCUGACAGCCUGCUUCCUUUCAGGUCACGUAAUGUAAAGUAGCUUUCAUUCUGCAAGACAAUCCAACUUUACAAUUUAUUGUUGCAUAUGAAAUUAGCAGUGGCCAAAAUGAGUCUAUGAUAUCAGUUUUAAAAAUUUUAAAACCUUGUAGGACAAUAUGGACAGGAUACCAUCCUUGAGAGCACAUUCUUUGAUUCACUAGGACCAUUAAAAUAAAAAUCUAGUUUCAGAAAUAGGAGCAAACCCUAAAACUGACAACAUCAUCUUUCUACAAAAUCAAAGAUUAGAAAGGAAAAACGAAAUUGGAAUAUGGUCUGUUGCAAUGCUUUCACAUUGCUUUAAGCAAGAAAAUACAAGCCUCAACAUAAGGAGAUUCUCUUUGCAAAUUAAAAAAGAAACGAAAGUCCCAAAGGCAUUAACUAGCAAUUGCUAACUAACACAGGAGAAGAAAAUCUGGUGUUAUAACUAUAUGUGCCCCCCAAAAUUAAACCGACAGCAAAACCCCAAGGAGAGCCAAAACUUGGCACAGAAAACAGAAUUGAGAAAGAUUCGGUGAUGUUAUAAAGAAGCUAACCUCUGGACUUAUCAUGUCAACCAUCUGGCAUAAAAUAUCCUCAAAAAGUACAGGCUCCUGGGCCAUGCAUUCCAUUCUAUGCAACUGCUCCUCGUAGAAGAAUUGCAGUUCAUUCCUUGUUAUGACCCCAUUCCCAUCCAAAUCUAUGCAUUUAAACCUGAUCAGGAAAGGAGAAAGGGGGAAAAAAUGUGCACAAUAGAAUCAAUUAUAUAUCAAAUUUCAGUUGCUGCAAGUAAUAAGAUCCUCUAAUAAUUUUGAUAAAAAAGUUAUUUUACUAACAAAACCCUAUUCUAAGACAAAAGAAACCUUAUCAUCUUUUAUUUGACAUAUUCAUAUGAACUUUAGUAAAAUAAAUGAAAUAAUGAAAUUUCUAAAUCAGCUGGUUGCAUUCUUGAAUGACAACACAAGGACCACUAUAAACACACUGCCGACCAACAACCUCCUAGAUGAAAGUUACCAUAUGAUGCUCCAAAAACCAGGUCUAAUACUUCUCCCUGUAUUUUUUUAAAAAUAAAAUUGUAACAUAAUUCUAAGUGUUUAACUUGAGGAAAAACAAAUACUUCAAAGCAGGUAUAACAUUCAUAUUGUUAGGAAAACAGUACCAGUAUUCAAGACUAGGUUCCGAUGAUUUAUCCUCCUCUGACAAUAUGAAAUAAACAAAAUCUUCGUAUCCCAUCUUUCCUUCAACCUUGCUGGUGAACUUUCUUGGCACCUAGGAACAAAAAGGACAUUACAAUCAGAACCAGCCUUAAAUAAGCUUAACAUGCCUAUUUCGUCAGCAAGCAUGUACAAUUACCCUGAAAACAAAUAUAGAUCAUUAAUAACUAUUACCUGAGAAAAUAUCCUAUCGACAAUUCUGUAGGUAAGCGCAUGGUUGCCAUAUCUUAUAAGGUUCUCUUUAUCAAUUAAAAAAUCAUGAUCUGUGUCCAGCUCCCAAAACUUGCAAUAUAUCACAUAAAAGUGUUCAUACGAGAAGUACCUGAAGCACAAAAUAAAACCAAAAAAAGAACAAAAAAAAUCUUAAAACUCGGAGAAGAAUGUAUCAGAUCAUAUACUACAAGCAUGUAAAAACUGCAUGUAAUUCGUAUAUCUGCAGCACCUAAUGAAUGCACAGUGCUUUGCCCCAAAUUGGAAGAUAAAAUCUUUAUGUUUGUAGUUUCAAAUAGUAAAUACAACAUCCAUGAAAUAAUCAGCCUGUUUGGCAAACAAGUUUUUGGCCAAGUGUGUCUACUACAAGUUUUUUAACAACCUAUAGCUACAGUAAUCUCAAAAAACUUCUCAAAGUUUUUAAACUACACACUUCAAAAUAUCCAAAAAUUUACACACUUCAAAAAUUUUUCCUACAACUUCUACACUAAGCUACAGUAAAAUUUUAGACAAACACCCAAGAAACUCAUUUGCCAAACGGGGCCAAUAAUUCCACUUAUAGUUAGCUGGUAAUGAAGGGAGAUAGCAGGGCUGUAGGUUGGACUAUUCAUCAAUGAACCAUUUUAACAAAUAACUAAUGCCACAAUAACAGCAACUUAUUUACACAAACUGUUCGAGUUAAAUUCCUGGAAAAAAAAUCGAAGGGGCUUACAAGACAAUAGAAUGACAUACUAAAUUUCACCAGGAGCACUUCCACUAAUAAAAGCAAAAUGAAUCCAUUUUUUCCUUGAAUAAUGAAAAUUGAAAAGGGACUACAAUUUAGAAUGAGAUUGCUUAUAAGCUAUUGAUCUAGCAAACAAAUAAGGUAAUUUGUCAGGUGCAGAACUUACCUCAAAACCUUGUUAAUAUCCUCCUCCUCGUCAGCAUGUUGCAUUGCAGCAAUUAAGUUCGAACGUUUAAGCUCCCUGAGGGUAAGACGACCAUUACCCGAUCUAUUCACGUAGUAAAAUAUUCUGUAUAUUACAGUUUCAGCUGGCCAAUGGAAUAAAAUUGAACGUUACGAUGCAAUGAAACAACGCAAUUCAAUCGAAUUAAAAGAAAGUAUGAAGACAUAUAUAAUAUGGAAAAGGAGAACCAUAAAGCCGAUUUAAGGGCCAGGAAUGCCAGAUGUUUGAGAGCAGUCAGGUCAAAAGUUCUGGAUUCACGGAAACCACCAUACAAUUUACCCUACUUACCAACCCCUCCCCUUCCCCCCCAAAAAAACAAAUUUGCAUUUAUGACUUGGCUAUUACAGGAAAGUUAAGAAGACCAUGCACCCAGCCAAACAAGAAAGGGGGCCAUUCUUUGAAGGACCAACCUUAUGAAUAUGUUUCAUCUUCUAAUCCCAGAUUCAUUUAUCACAUGAUGAUUUUUGAGCAAUUUAAAAUACUCCCAACAGUGUCAUAAUAUAAUUUUCGACAAACAACCCACUUCAGGAACUCAAAACCCAAAAAUAAAUGGAGAAGAAACUGCAGCUAAGUGCCAGGAAAAUUGCAUAUUGAUUAUCAAAGAAAUCACAAGAUACCCCUCCAUUAGAGUUAGUAAAUGAUGUAUGUCCCUUGACAAAUACUUUGAGCCAUUUCAUGAUGCAAGACUUCUCAAAAUUUGGAACUUGUUUACCCUAAAUACCCUAAAUCUAAGUGAAGCAUCGAACUCCAUCGUGCAAAUCAAGAAAACUAGUAAAAGAGACAAAAAUAAAAGUCCAGCAAGAGAAUUCAAAGAUACCAUAUCUCUCUUGAAAUUCAGGUGUACUCUGUAAGAACUCCAAGCCUGGAUGAGUUGCCAAAAGUUCUCGAAGUAGAGGUUUGAAGUCAUCCUGUUAAAGUGAAAUUCAUAGCCAGUUAAAAACAACUCCAAAGGCACUUUGUAAUCUUCACGCAAACAUAGCCAGUUGUAAGUGUCAAAGAAAUUCUUAAGAGCAUUUCCAUGCUACCACUUAAAUUAAAGCACGCCCUAGAGUAAAAUAACAUAGCCAAAGAGUAAAAUAACAUAGAUAAUACAAAGAGCACCUGAGUCAGGUAUCUGAAAUCUGGCUGUUUCAAUAUUGUAAAUAUCUGCGUAGCAAUAUCUUUUGUCAACAUGUUGCCAUUUACCCAGUAGUCAACAAAGGCAUCUCUACAAGUGCAUAACAGACUUAGUCAAACAAGGUAUUGACAGAAUACAACUGAGACAGCAAUCAAGAAACAAUAACAAAUUAAGUUCAAAUAACUUCUAUAAAACAGCUCCAAGGCCAAAACAUGUAUGAUGGCAGACCAAAUCCAGGCACAACAAUUAGGUAAAAGAUACCAUUCUCUGUAUGGCAUAUAAAACCUCAAAUAAUUUCAUGCACCUGCACAACAAUAGAUAUGCAAAAGAUGCCAUUGUGUAUGGCAUAUAAAACCCCAAAUAGUUUCAUGCACCCAAGAAUAUAAGACUGGGAAAUCCUUAAAAAUGACAAAACACCAAAAUAAAAAUGAUAUACCAAAGGACACAAAAGAAGAACAGCCCUGUCUAAUAAAUGUUAAGUUUGAACUUGUUUCUCCAUUUUCUUUUUGUUAGCAAUGGCCAAUUACAAUGGGUAGACAGUAUGAUCCAAUAGUACACUUCGUAGGAAUGCAAAAUGCACAGUGCCAAGGAGAAGGGAGCUUGUUUAUGAUGUUUGACGUAAAUUCAAGAGUCUCAGAAGUUGAAGACUUAGUGGAGGAGAGGCCUGCAACUAAAACGUCCCGCAGUUCAGGCAGAACAGGUCCUUUAGACUGCCUUGUCUAACAUUCCUACUCAAUUCCUUUCACAGGUUCUCAAAAUGUUUAGAACAAAAAGAGCAGAAACCAUACAAACAGCAUUAUUGCCAGCACUAACAAUAACAUAUUUGCUCCUUCAAGAGCUCCCACAAGCAUAAUGUGGUGCUCAAAAGAUCCUACCAUCCAUACAAAUCAAACAGCAAAAUCAUAAUCAAUGACAAUCAGCUGACAAGCAUGAUAGGCACAAACAGUCUAACACAUGAGACAAGCUUGUUAAGUUUUAGUGAUGAUAAAUGCCUAGAAGUCUAGUAACAAAAAACAAUGUCAAAGGAUGACUUGCUUUGCCACCCAAAAUUUAACAAACACUAGGCAGUUGAAAAUUGGCACAUCAUCAUGUUGGGUGAACUUCUUCCAGACCAUAGAACUUCUCAGACAAGACCAAAAAGGCGCCAAAAAACAAUGAGAUUCAUCGCACCAUAUGAAGUCUCCCAGGUUUUUUUUCCCACCAAAUUCUCCGCAUAAGCAAGCAUCCCAUUAGACAUAAUAAACCAAGCAAGGAAGGGGAAGAACAGAACCAAAAUAUUGCCCAUAUUCGAGGCAGAAAAUAUGCAAUACUUAUCACGUCCAAGAAAAGGCUCUCUCCAUCUUUUCCUCCAUAAUGACAUGCAUAAACAUAGGCCUAAGAGCAACAUUAACCCAUUCAUCCCAAGAAAGCUUCUAGAAGAUAGAUAUAGAAUCAAGAAGAAUGGUAACAAAAGACAAUGAAGAAAAGAAGCAAGAUUAAGCAAGAUUUACAUGCAACAUUGCAGAAGGAAUGUCCAAAAUGAUGGAUGUCUGAAACUAACAAAUAGUAUGGUCUACACUGGACUAUAUAGGAAGUUUCUUAGUUACAGAGCUGUACUUGGUAAUGAUCCCUGUACCAUCAAGAUCCAUCUUUCUGAAAAGUGCACUGGAGAAGAAUGAUGGCAGCUUGCAAAUUUCCUUUGUCACAGGUUUAAAUUCUGACAAUUGAUUACAAGGAAUGUCAGUGAAAAGAAAUUGUUAUGAAAAAUCUCUAAAUUCUAUACAUUGUCACUUAUGACACACCUUAGAGUAACUGAAAGUUGGAUAACAUACUAUUACUACAAGAUAUGGUUUCUAAAUCAUAAAAGUUGAAUAUAAUGCUAUUACUGCAAACUAUAUUUUCUAAAUCAUAAAAGCUGAAUAUCAUGCCAUUACUACAUACUACUCUUGAUCGUACCAUGCAUUUGUAAUCCAUCCAUGUGGCCAUAAAAGAACUGAUUGAUCCUAAACAAACACCGCUCUUUCAUCUCAUUUGGAGGUGGACGGCCGUUUUGAAAGUAAAACUGCAGUCAUUCCAGAAAAUUAACAAAGAGAAACCAAUAAACGACAAUGCUUAUCAGCAUCCAUGAUGUUUUAAGAAAAGGAGUGCCAAGGCUAUCCAACCUGAGGUAUAAGCUCUUUAACUGGUUCAUUCACUAAUUUUAAAGGAGAACCCAAUACAGAGGCCCUUUGUUGCUUGGUGGUUCGAGGGGAACCAGAUGAACUUCUUGGAGAAAGUGGAGGCGUGCUGCCGGCAGGAAACAUGGAAGGCAAUGAAUUACUGGCAGCAGAACUUGUGUUAGAAGAUGUUCCAGAAACAUUUAAAGGACCACCUCCCUUGGCAUUAUUAAUUAAAGAUUUGACCUGCACUUACAAAAAAAAGAUGUUUUGUUUCGUACGCAUGUGCUAAACACUCAAAAUAUAAGAAUAAAUAAUUUCAGGUAACAAAAUCAAUAAACAAAGCUUCUGCUUCAAAAGGUGAAGAAUGAAUAAGAAAUUUUUGACAAAAGCAACUUGCACUGCUUUAAGAAAGCUACAGAGAAAAUUGAUAAUGAAAUAACAGUAAAAACCAUACAUUUCACACUUUUUGCAGAAAAAGUAACCAAAUAUAUAUAUAUUCAGACAUAAAGCUAAUAGUAGCAACAAAUUACACAAGAUCUGGGUAGCCCUUACGCCAACUGUGAGCUGAAAUGGUAUCCAAAUGGAAGUAAUUCUAUACUAUGGAAAAGGUUAUCAAGUCAAGAAUCAAUGAGGUGUGUCUCCUGAUAAGAAUUCCUGUACUCAUGCAUGUCAAAGAAUACACUGUGGCUCAGCAGCAUCCGUUGACACCCAAAAGGCACCGAUAUUUCACCUGAUAAUGCAUUGUUCAAUAUAAAGUAGGGCUCCUUUCACCACACAGUACUAAUUUAAGAGGCAUUUUUUGAAGAGCUUCAUUAAACAUUAAUAUUAAGAAACAUGGACUUCGGUCAAGAUUGGACUUCAACGACAACUAUGCUUAAGUCAACACAAACUUCUUAGGAAUCAACCCAGCUCGUUUUUUAACCUAAUUCAGCACCGUUAAACAUUAAAUUCUUCAAUUCUUUGCAUAUCUAAAGCUCAUUUUUGUCGAAUUAACACAUAUUGCCAUGUCCUCUGGCCCAUUGCCAUUAAGCAAUACUGACAAAUAGCUUCACCGUGGUCACAUUAACACAUGCUGCCAUUUCCUCUGGCCCGUUGCCAUUACGCGAUACUGACCAGUAGCUUCAUUAAUUGUAAUAAACCUAAGAAUACCAUCCUGGCCUGAAUUAUCCAAAGGAUUGCUAAUUAUAUCCACAUGACACCGUCAAUCUCAGCAUCAACAGAUAUCAUUACCUUUUCCUUCCAUUUUACAAUUCUCACACAUUCCUUUACGGCCCCAAUUACAAUGCUAGUUUUAACAAUUCAUGCUCUCCAUACAUAACGCACUAAAUUCACAUCCAAUUCACUAGCAGCCUAAAUGAAUGAACCAGGCGACCAAAACAACACUUGUAUUUACACAAAAAUAAAUGCAGCUGAUUACAAAUUAUGCAAUUCAAUCUUUCACAACAGGGCAGGCAAUAAAAAUCUAAAUCGUUGAGCCAUGCAUAUAAAUAUACCAAUGAACCGGUGUCAGGAAGCGAAAGCCAUUGGUCGAAAAGCUUCUCGGCGACACAAGGGUUAUCUUUGAUAGCCAAAGGAGCCACCUCUGGCAGCUGCAACAAGUCGGCAUCGAGACACGCCACGUCACUGUUAAAAUCUAACUCCAUAUUUAUAAAACACUCCAAUCAAAAUCCACCGAUAUCUCCAGAUCUUCCAACGCUCUCUCAAUCAUCAAACAAACCCUAAUUUAAAGGGAAACAAAGACAAACAAAAUUCUUCCUUCCCUAUAUACACGAAUCAAACGGCCCGGUUUAAUUUGGAAUUACAACGGAAAAUGAAUUGAGAUCUAAUAAUUUUACAGAUCUUCGACAAGUAAUUUAUUGGCGAUUAUGGGAUAAACCCUAGAAUUGAAUUCGUUCAGGAGAUCGGAGGAAGAAACGACGCUUUGGGAAGUGAGUGUUUAUGUGAGAUGGAGUGAUGGUAUGGAUAUUGUAUGUAUAGGUUGAUAUAUACAUACAAAUAUAUGAAGGUUAAUUGUAGUGACGACAGCGGGCAGACACCUGAAAAGAUGAAAAUCCACAACCCACAGAUGAAAGAAAAGAAAGAAGCGAAAGGAGGGAGGGCCGGAGAUGGGUCUAUUGGUCACAAAGCCGUAAACGAUUCUAAAAUCUAUUUGGCCCGGCACGUGGAAGAAGCGUGACGAGCUCAAUUGUUCUUUCCUCAUUCAGUUCAGCUGAUGGACGUUGCUUGCAUCCACUAGUACCAUACUAGCUUCGUCGAGCAAUCUGAAAUUUGCAUCAUCAUCAAUAUGGAAAGUGCGCUUGCGAGUUUGGAAAACGUGAAAAUUUUUUGAAGAAAAAUGAUGAUAUAAUUCGAACAAGGCUAAAAUUAUUUUCGUUUUACUCUCUUCGUUGUGUUUUUUUUUUGGGUACUGAAUGAAGGGAGUGAUUUUCUUCCUAAAUCAUUAUAUAUUCUUCCAAAGGUAAGUUAGUAACUAUUAGCAUUAUUUUACUUCAUGAAACGUGAUAAUGCAUUUAUGUCAUUAAUUAUGUCUCGGUUUUGAUUUUUUUCAAGCUAAAUUUAAUCAGAAGAGAUCCAAUAAUAUGUUUAGGUGAACUUCGUUAUAAAUUAGGUUGGCAUUUUAAUUACAUGCAUUUUGAGUAUAUAUAAAAUAUUUUGUUUGGUAAAUGUAAUAUCUUACUAUACGGUUAUAAUCUCGUCACUUAAUCGUGUUGUGCACGUAAUCUUUCUCUAUAUUUUUUCUCUUUGUAAAUGUUUAAGAAUCUAUUUCUUCAUGAUAUUUUUUCAGGCAAAAUUUAUGUAAAACGUUGAUGUUUUUGUUAGCCAAAUAAAAAAAUUUACUUCACAAAUUUCAAUCACCUUUUUAUCUUCCCAACCAUCUUUUUAUCUCGCAUACAUCACAUCACAAAAAAUGCUACAGUAAUUAUCUCAAAUAAAUCAUUCAAAUAAACUCUUAUCCAAACAAUGUCAAUCAUUAGCCAUAGCUUCAUAAUAGUAGCUUCCAUCCACAUUCAUUACUAUUCAAAGUAAUCAUGCCCGUUGAUUUUCAAUUUUAAGAUCAAAUUUAUCAUUGCUGCGCUAAAGUGCAUGUUAAACAGGCAUAACUAGGGCUGCAAACGAGUCGAGUUGAGUCGAAUUUUAAGCUAAUCGAACCGAGUCUCGACUAAAUUUUACCGAGCUCGACGAGCCGGCAAUUUUCGAGCUCGAGCUCGGAAAAAAAUAAAAAAUAAAAAUUGUAUUUUUAAAAAAAUAAAUAAAAUAAUUUUUUUUGAAUAAAUAAUAAAAUAUUAAGGAUAUAUACAUAAUUUUACUAUAAAAAUAAAAAAAAAAAUAUAUAUAAUAAUAUUAAUUUUAUUAUUAAAUAAAAAUAAAAAAAAUAAUAUAUAUAUACUCAAACUCGCGAGUCAGCUCGCGAGCUAACGAACUUAAUAUUCUUAGUUUGAGUUCGAGCUCGAGUUUGACUCGAGCCGCUCACGAGCGGCUCGAUUCAUUUGCAACCCUAGACAUAACACAAAGAAGAUGGAAAUAUAUGAAUAUAUAUAUCUAACAUUUCAUCAAUAGGCAUCUUUUGUUUGCAUGUACGACUUGUUCCAUUUAUCUAUUUUGUCCUGUUUUCAAGAAAAUUAUACAAUAAAUAAACUACACAUCUAUACAAAAUAAAAUAAGGUAAAAGAAUGUUGAAUAUCCAAAAAAUGGAAUAAUAUAUAAGUGAUUUUUAUUGAUUUGUUAAUUUAUGAACAUAAUGCAUAAGGCUGUCACGCUAUCUCAAUUUUCGUUAAGUGACCUAAUCCAAUAUGAUAUUCUGUCCAUAUAAAGCAUCAGCCAUUAUUAUAAGCAAAUUUAUCAAUGAAAUUUCAAAUAUUAGAAGACACGUUCAAAGCUUUCUGCUUGAGAAAAAUAAAAUUUGUAGAACUUAAAAGAUCACGCAAAAGGUUAUAGGAGAUUAAAUUCAUAGAACUAAUGUAUAUAGAGAGGCAAUUUACACACAUAUACACAUAUAUAUAUAUAUGUAUGUAUGUACAUACGUACGUAUGUAUAUGCAUGUAUGUAUAGGGAAAAAUCUUAUGAUGCAGAAUUGUAUAAAUAUUAUUAUUGUUCCAGUAUCCUGCAGUUAUCUUGGAAUAAAGCCCAGUCAUAUUGAGCAUCGUGCUUCACAGAAAAAGCAAGGGCAUGUGCCUAAACAGAGAAGACAAACUUAUAUUCAUAGCUCCAAAAUUCGUAGUACCAACAAAUUGCUCGCACAAUUCGUAAGUUGUCUAAACCUGUGGGACUAUUUUGUAAUAUGACCAAACAUCACGUAAACGCACCUACUCUUAGUAUGGAACUCCCCGACUUUUUCUUUUUACGGCAACAAAACGAAAUUAUCUCUAUCUCUCUCCAGCGUAUCUUGUAAGCGGGAAGAUGACCGGAGCUGACAAGUCGUCUGAUUUAUUGAAGGAACUGGAGCGUUUGUUGGAUUCAGACCCCUUGAUGUAAGCCUCCAAUUGCUUCCCGUGUUUUGAUUGCUUAUUUUAUGUAUCAUAUGCACUUGCAUUGCAUUAAUUUCUUUGAAUUGUAGUUUCAAGAAACGAUCAAAAGUGUGAAAGCUCUUAUUGAUUGCAAUUUCUUUUAAUUAUGGUCAUGGAAAUGCUGCGAUUAUCUGAGUUUUAAUAGUACUUACCCGGGAAAAUGCUAUUGAUCUUAAUUAAGUAUUGGAUUUCAUAUUUUUUGGUAGUUCUAAUCCAAUUCGGGAUUUUCGAUGCUGAUUGCUGCUUGUAUGCAAUUUAUCUGUUCCUUGUGACAAUGGAUGAUGCUAACUCGAGCUCAUGAUCUAGUCAAAGGUCAAAAGAGUUCUACAUCUUUAUCUGUGACGAUUGUGCUAGCGAGGUGAAGCUAUCUGAGGCAGUUUAGUCAUUAAUUUGUUGAAGUUCAAGCUCCCCCCCCCCUCCCUUCUCAAAAAAAAAAAAAAAAAGGUGUUCCCUCCAAUUGAAACAGUCUCAAAUUGAUCCAACCUAUUUAUUAAAGGCAUUAACAGUUCUUCUGAUUAUAGAGGAAUUAGCGACAAAAAGAGGGAGAUAACACAAGUCGUUUUUGUCUUUUUACGAGAGGCGUUUGCAUCUUCAUGUUUCCAACGAUAAAGGUGCAAUCUUUGCUGGUUACACAUGGUUUUGACAGAGUGCAAUUUAGAGGUUCUAUCGACAAGAAGUGCACGAAUUUAACUUGGCGAAAGAAGGCACCUUUCAUUCAACUCAAUAAAGCAGGAACAACUUUUAGUAGAAUGAUGAAUAAAUCUUGCUUAGCUGGAUUUUUUUUUAAACCAAGCUGGAACGAUUUUUUCAAGGAGGCCCUUUAUAAUUUUAAAAUUCUGGACCUUUUGACUACUACUUUAGGAUUUUCUUAUACUUUUUAAUUUCUUUGCUUGAUGUGUUAUGAUUGUUAGUAUGUCUUCUUCAGCAGAUUUAUGUUUAUUUUCAAUAUGUUUGGAAUUUAUUGUUGAUUAACCGACAUCCUGUAAUUAUGCUUCCUUCUAAAUCAAGGGAUGAAGUAGGGUUUAUUCAUCCAUCACAGCUUGCUGAACUUCGUAAAGAGGCCGGUAGUACUUCAAGGGACAGGCUCAUGGGAUCUGCACAAACAGAAGCUAAUACUUUUGAUUUAGUUUUUUGGAGCAGAGAGCAUAAGUUGGGAAUCUCUACCACUGCUCUUCUUCCGUUAUACAAAGCAGCUAAACAUGCAUUCAUGGAAGCAAUAAGACAAUAUCAGACUUUAACUGACUUGCAGAGAGAAAGAGAUGAUUCAAAAGAUGUCAAUGCAUCAACAUUUACUUCAUCUUCCAUAAGCAUUCUGGAGACUGAUGUGAUGAAGCACAGCCGGGCUCUUCUGUUGUUAAGCUGCGAUUUCGGCACUGCUUGGAAUUGCAGGUCCUUAUAUCCUCAUCAUUUAUCAUUCUCUGCAGUCAUAUCUAUGAAUGUGUAAAUGUGUGUAUGUAUCCGUUUUUCUAUUAACCCAUCUAUUUUUAAUAUGUGUAUAAAGUAAUUUUUUGGGUAACUAAUCAAUCUUUGUUGUUGAAAGAAAAUCUGUACACACAAGAAGGAGGGCGUAUCCUCUGUAUGGUGCUCACUUUCCUGCAUUGAUAUGUAAAGAAGAUCAAUAUGGAUGAACAUAAAAUAUUUUAGCAAGAUCAAGUGGCAAUACUCAGUCCAGGCUAUAUUAGUAAUUAGGUACUCCCACAAGUUUUCUUUUCCUUCUGAUACAGAGUGCAUGUGGCAUUAGCUGCUCUAUCCUGAGAUUUGGUCUAUCUCUAUCGACAGUGCAACAAAUAUUGUUCUUAAAGCAUUGUAAAGGCACAUGGAUUUUAGUUUGCGGCAUGUAUGCCGCCGAUUAUUAAUUAGCAUUUACUAGAUCUGCAGUUCUAGCAGAGAAGGAACAGAGGAAAACAGGUGGAUAGCGCCUUUGAACACAAAUAGAGAAACUAAUAAACUAGAAAAACGAAGAAAACCCUUGAUUGUUCAUUGGUUUACAAAAAUCCUUUGUUCCUUUAUUUCAACAAUGUUGUGUACUACCGGCCAAACAUACUUAUAAAGACCUCAUAUGGUUGCUACUACUGGAACCAAAAUCUUGGUCCUAUAUUUCCACACAUUAUCUAUCCAUAUAAGCAUGUCAUAAUAAAUCUAAGCAAGAAAGCUUCGUGAGCAUUGAACUCGUUUUUCUGCUGGCAUUGAGAGUAAAACUUAUUGGAAAAUAGUUUAUUCAUAAUUGCAGAUCCUUCUGUAGUUUGAUUUAACAUAAACCUCUCACUGCUAAUCUUUAGCUUUUCAUUGUUCUAUUAUAGAAAAAUGCUGGCUAAUGCUAUUGCAGGUUUAUUGCUCUCAAAUGUGUGUAUACAUAAAGAUAUACUGGUAUGUACAUAGAUGUACAAGGGCACACACUCAACUUUGAAAGUAUUGGCUGGUAAUGAUGCCAAACAAAAGCUGAAAAUGUUUGCUACAUGUUUUACUCGGCUAAUUAGAAAAUUCUGAAAAAUAUGAAUUGGCGUGUGGUAGACAUUUCUUAGCUGGUAAACUUUCAACUUGCAGGAAAUUAGUUGUUUCCAAGCUGGAGCUACUUCAUACUUAUAUGGAUGAACUUAAUUUGUCAAGUUUGGUUCUUUCUUAUGCACCAAAAAGUGAACGUGCGUGGAACCAUCGGUAAAUUUCUGCUGUCUUGUGUGCGAAACAUUGUGCACGUACAUGUUUAACAUCUGUUUUUAUGAUAAGGAAUAACAACUUUUUCUGAAGAUAUUUUUCAUACGUGUAUUUUCUGUUUCUUUUCAUUCAUGCAUUUGCAUGUAGCGUUGCAUUAUACUUGUCAAUCACUUUGCACUUGUAUUGAUUUGGUGCAUUGGAUGCUUAUUACUGACAAUUACUGAUAGGAGGUGGGUGAUCAAGAUGAUUGCUGGAAAGUGUCCAAAUCUGCAAGAGAUUAUUGAAAGAGAAUCUGAGUUUGUUGAGAAAUUAGCUGAGGUCAAUUUUUGUAUCAUGAAUUGCAUGAUAUAGAAGAUAUGAUCUUAUCAGUCAAUUUCAAGUUUUAUUGAAUGUCAAAUGGAAAUUUAGAUGUCAUGUUGGUUGCCAUGUUUGUACUUAGUCAUUUUCUUGAUUAAUCCUUUACUUUUCUCCUGCAUACUUAGUGUGCGUGGAGCACUUGAGUUCCAUACUAUCACAUCGCAGUGCCUUCAAAUUUGAGUUCUGUGUUCGGCAAAAUUUGUCAGGGAAUGGAGCAAAGGAGGCUAAUGUCAUCUUUGAUAUUAGCUUUUAGAAGUAUCAUACUUGAUGAUUAUGCAUUUUCUCCUAUUUAACUGAAUAGAGAUUGCUUAUAUGAAGAUUUUUGGUGAUCCAUUGGUUUUUCAAAAGCCUACUUGAGACAUGAUAUUCCUUUUUUAGCUUUCUAAUUUUCUUCUCUCGGAUUAGAUAUUGGCAUGCUGUCCCAGCAAAAGAGUUUCUUUUUUUUUUAUGGUUCUCUCUUUUUAGAGAAGGGCUAGUAGCCAAGAAACAUUAGCGAGUGACUUCUUGUUUCGGAUUAUAUAUUUGAUAAUGAUGAGGCAGAUAAUAAUUUUGGUAUGCAGACCUCAACUUGUCUCACUUAAAAGCACUGACGAGUUGCUACUUCUCUCCCAUAACUUUCCAUCUUUCUAUCCUUGAGGUUGAACUGGUUCCUCAUGCAUGCAAUAGUUUUACAAAUGACAAAGAUUGACAGGCUUGUUUAUGUUAGUCAAACUGGAUAUCCAUAAUGAAAUCAAGGACUUGUUUAACUUCUCUGCUGGAGUUUUACAUAUGAACUUGUUCCUCAUGCUUGAGACUUAAUUUGGUUAACUUGUAUCCCAUAACUUUCCACCGUUUCUAUUCUUGAGUUGAACUCAUUCCUCAUGCAUGCAACAGUUUCACAUAUGACAAGGAUUGACAGGCUUGUUUAUAUUAGUCAAACUGGAUAUCCAUAAUGGAUUCAAGGACUUAAUUUGGUUAACUUUUCUGCAGGAGUUUUACAUACGAACUCGUUCCUCAUGCUUGCAUUAGUUUUACAUACUACAAAGAUUGACAAGCUUGUUUAUAUUAGUCAAAUUGAUAUCCAUAAUGAAUUUUCACGGACUUAAUUUGGUUCUAACUUUUCUGCAGAGGUCAAAAAUGAAUUAUCGUGCAUGGAAUCACCGCUGCUGGUUGGUUUCUUACAUGUCUGGAGAGCAGGUUAGUAAAAAAUUAAGAGGAACCUAUUUGUUGCUAUAUUUUUUCAUCUGCAUAAUUGCACUCUGCUAACUGGGUGGCAGUAGGCUGAAGUUAACACUAUCAUGUACAAUCACAGCCAAACUCUAUUCCUGGUUUUGGACUUAAGAAAAGAGGUGCAUCAUAUAUAAGCUUUGCAAUUGGAUUUUUAACCAAGUUUGUGGGAACUGGAUGCAGGUACUACAUGAAUUGAACAAGUCCCGAGAUUGGGCUGGCCUUCAUGUUGCUGAUAACUCGUGCUUUCACUACCGUACAGUAGGUUAUCUUUGUAUCUAUUAUUCAGAACUACCAAUUGUGCCUGUGAUUUUUUGUUAAGUGAUUGAUGCUGUUAGUAUGCCUCUCCUUAUAGUUCAGAAUUAUGUUGUCGGCCUCUCUAAAAUAGGACUUGGUACUUGCACAAUCAGCACAGUUGAACCCAGAAAUUUUAGAUUUAUCAGUUCUAGUUUUGCUUAGCCACUUGCUUUUAUAUGCAUAACUUGAUUGUUUUUAAUUAUUUUGGAAUACCUCAUAAACAAAGCAUGCUUUUGAAGUUUUGGUAAAAUUGGCAGCGGUUAUUGCUCAAGAUCUUAGAGGGUUAUGAUGACCAAAAUUCUGCUGCACCUUCAGCCACGAAUUUUCAUGAAUUGUGGAAGGUAUGGUCCUGCAUAUUGCUGAUCCUUCCAGAGUAUUCAAAUCCUCUCAUACUCGCUGUUAGGUGUUGCAUCUAUAGGAAACGAAGGAUAUACUUAAUUAGAAUCAUAUUAUCAUAUUUUCAGAAUUGGCGUGCAUGGUUUUCCUUUUUCUUCUAAUUUUGUUAUGUUUAGUUUCUUACAAUGUCUACAUCUUUACUUGGGUCUGAUCUUCAAAGGAUGUCCACAAGCAGACUCUAGAAUCUUGGAUCUCAAUUCCUUAGCUAGACCUGCUAUUAACUUGAGAAAUCAAAUGGGAGGAUUGUUAGUGAUACUGUUAACCUGCUGAGAAGGUCCUGAAGGCUCCAAGCAACUGGUAAUUCUGCAAUUAGUUGGUCCAGGAUCAUUGCUAAAUGGACAGAAGCCUAGAUUAUGAGUGAUAGGGUAAUAAUUGCUUAAGCAUCUGUGGCUAUAAGGCUUAUUGAAAUGUGAUUGAAAGAUAGCCUUGUGUACUGAGAACGUGUCUGAAUUUGCCAAAAUCAGAAGCAGCUGUGUCUUAUCUAGCAUAAAGCAAAAAAGACAAACUUGACUGUUGAUUCCCUCCCAGUGAGGAGAAUCUGUUAUCUGAAAAUUCUCACAGGAAGUAUAUAUGCUCAUGCACGGGAAUUGCAGUUCUAGACGAUAGGAUUGUGAUGUUAAGUCCCAAUGGACCCUUUGAAUUUUUGGUUAUAAUACUGAUACUUUGAUAGACAACCCUGAGGACCUAAAGAAUUGUCUAAGGAAGUUGUAAAAUUAAUUCAUACUUUGGUAAGCGGUGGUUAAAACAGUUAACGUGAAAGUUGCACUGUCAUUCAAGCAUUGCAAUUAGCAUUUAAAUAUUCUCUCACUUGUAUCUUUCAUGGAAAAGCCUGACGCUCAGGCUGUUGUUUAUAAUUAUAUGAUUGUUGAAUCUGAUAUGCAGAUAUUGGGCAUGAAGGAAUCUUUGGAAAGUUUGUUUAUUGCGCAGGCAAAUACUAUUAUCACUAUAGCCUGCACCAAAGAUGUCCAAAAAUUUCUUAGGAAAAAGUUCUUUGAGCAUUGCUUUAACCUUAACGACUGUACAGAUACUGGAAUUCUAAAACAAAUAUGGAUCAAAGAAAUAAACUAUAGUUCAGUUGUCAUUCAUGUAAAAACCUAAUUUGGCCUAAUGAUGUACUUUAUGCAGCUGAUUGUCAUGUUUUUAUGAAAAUUCCUCAUGCUUCAUCAACUUAUAAGUUUUGUUUGUGACAAAUGCUUUGUUACAGAAGGAACUUGAUUGGGUUGCUACAUUGAUAAAGUGCUACGUGGGAAGAGAGGUAUGGCCUGACUAAGAUACACCAGGAUCUCCACUAUGCUGCACUUACUUCACUAUUGAUUUGGAAAAUGGCUUCCAGAAAGAUAUUAGAAAGUUUGGAUUACCUUCCACACUUAAAGCUUUAGCUUUGUUGGUCCAUCAGAAAUUUCCUGGCUGUAAUGGAUUCUAAAUCCUAGACUUGAAUUUAUUUGGCUAAUGGUCCUGGAUCAGGAGGGAAAGUACAUCAAAAACUUUAUGGUUAGAUGUGGGCAUAUAUCUCUGUCUUUGAUGGGGCACUUCAGAAAACUGGAUGGAGGCAUUGAAGUCAAUUUCAGCAGCUUGACCUGGCCUUAUUCUUGUUCCAAGUGCAGGAUUCUGUCUAGGUCUAAUUUAUCGUUUAUGGUUCUUACUUUUGACAGAAGGCUGGAUCUGAUCGUGGGUCUUCCAUUUCUUGACAUCUCAUGAUUAAUAUCUUCUGCAUUCAGACAGUUCAACCAUAUAAAUGACUUCAUGCCUGGAUUACAGAUUUCUUGUCAAUCACUUGGAUCCAAUAUACGACUUGAAUGAAUACUUGUUGUCCUUAUAAUUCACAGCAUUUUAAAGCAACUGAUGAUUAUUUUGUUACUUUUGAUUUGCAGGCUUUAUGGCUCUAUCGCCGCUUUCUAUCAUUGACUUGGAUUAAGCAUUUUACAACUCAAGUUCACAGCAAUUCUUUUGGUUCCUGUCCCAAAAAUAUAAUGAAUGUCGAAGUAUUUAUGAGUAAUGAGCUACAAUUGUGUCAUUACUGCUCAAGUAUUCCUGAUAAUGACUUUGAGGACUAUCAAGCACAAGCAACCUUUUCUGCUACUUAUAUCAUGUGGAUUACAAGGGUGCGUAAACCUUUAUGUUAUGAAUAUUCAGAUUUCACAUCCUAAUCUAUCCUGUGAGAUUCUCACCUUUCAUCGGGGACUUUUGUAUGUGCUCAGCAAGUUGGUGGCUCUUUGCAAGUAGAGCUUCGAAAGAAGCUGGAAGCAAAUGGAUUGAAGACACUGGUAAACAAUGUCUGCCCAGAGAAGUCCUUCCUGUGGAAUACUUUCAGCGAAAGCAUCUAAUAACAGCUUUGGAGUUUUAAAAGGGUAAAUUUGGGUAUAUUUUAGGUGGUUGGUUGUUUUUGGAUCAUAUGCCAAAUCAGUCUUGAACUUGCUCUUCUUUGACCGUAUGUUGUACUCUUUCUUCGGGUUGCAAAAUGGGUGCUGCUGAAAACAUGAUGUCCAUCAUUUUGCUGGAUGCAAUCUGAUCUUUGUAGACACCAGUUUCUUUGGCCUGUUUAGUGGCUUUCAUACAGCCUUUUGAGUUUCUUCAAGUCAUCUGCGGCGUGUAUUCUUGUUAUCAUUAGAUUGUAAUUUUAAUCUCUGUAUAUCAAUUUCUGCUUCGUCUACCCUCUAUUGCAUACACAAACAAGAAGCCUCCUCAUUCGCAAACUCGAAACGCUGCAAAUUGCUCCAGGCAGGCUAGCAUAGUACCUGCUUUUGGGCGCAAGGACUUGCAAGGUUGAUCAUUCUUAGCUGCGAUCCAUGUAUAGAACUUACAGAAACAAUAUCUACCAAUUCAUAUAACCCAGAUUGGUAAAGAUAGCACGCAAGUACAUUUCCCUUUAUUGUUAUGUAUCAUUGGAACUUAAUCCAUCCGCCGUUGCGAAAUGGUCGGCCGGUAUUUUGGCCUUGACAACUCUUGGCAUGCCUUCGUCUAAGUUUAUUUUUUCUGCCUCAAAUCUGUCUGCAUUUGUUUGGGCUGUGGUUAAACCCUCUGCUUAUAAUGUUGCACUUCAUCAACAAGAGGGAAUGUCUCCUGCAAAACAAAAAAUAAAAGUAAACUUUUAACGCAUUCGCUAGCUUUUUUAUCCCCUUUCUUUUUCUGAUGUAAAUGAUUUUCAAUACAGUGCCACGUCCAUAAGCUCUGCCAAAAAUGUUAAUCCAAAUGAAUCACGGCAAGAAUUAUCUGCUCUACCAAGUAUGAUGGAGUGAUGCAUGUUAUAUUGCAAAACGGAUUCCAAUAAUUUGGUCGAAAAUCCGUUUUCUUAUUUUAAUUUUAAAAUAGAGAACCUCAAAUGUGUAAAAGGUACUUGCGACCCGACCCAUUACCACAUUUUCGAACCGUCUAUUGCCUUAUCUAAAAUAGUUGAGAUGGCUGGUAUGAUAUCCACUGGGAAUCCAAAACUGGAUUUCCAGGGAACGGACAACAGAACUCCACAAGACCACCUGUCAACUUCCAGGUUCUGAAGCCUUCAUUCAGCUUUACGGAAAAUACAGGUACCUUUUCAGUUCUCGGCAUGUCUAUGCAUCUCUAGAUGAUGGUUUAUCAGCAUUAGGACAUGACAAAUCUCAAUAACCCGAUGGCCACAACUUUUUCUUCCGAAUUGCUCCCUCAGUUAUUUCCCUAUGUUACACAAGCAAAACUCACUUCAAAUUGUCACAACAUAUUUGUGGUGAGGUGCAGAGGCCACAUACCUAAUGAGAGCAAGUCUAGAAGUCCACAAAAAGUUAUGGUUUCUACAGAAGCUAGAUCAACACAAUUGCAGCCUCAUGAUUCUACUGAGCCCAACUUUUUAAAACUGCUCAGCAGAUCCUGCAAAGCAGCCAAAUACAACGAAGCUCUGUAUUUUCUUGAAUGCAUGGUGAAUAGGGGUCUGAAACCAGAUGUCAUUCUUUGUACGAAGCUCAUUAAAGGACUUUUUAGUUUGAAGAAUGCGGAAAAAGCAGUAAGGGUCAUGCAUAUUCUGGAGCAGUAUGGUGAACCAGAUGUGUUUGUUUAUAAUGCUGUCAUUAGUGGCUUUUGUAAAGUGAACAAGACUAAUUCAGCAAAUGAAGUAUUAAGUAGGAUGAGGGUUAGGGGCUUUUCAGCUGAUGUGGUUACUUACAAUAUAAUGAUAGGGAGCCUGUGCAAUAGAGGGAAGCUAGGACUAGCUCUUAAAGUUUUUGAUCAGUUACUACAAGAUAAUUGUAAGCCUACGGUGGUCACAUACACAAUAUUAAUAGAAGCAACUGCCCUUGAAGGCGGCAUUCAUGAAGCGAUGAAGCUUUUGGAUGAGAUGUUGCGCAAAGGACUUCAACCUGACAUGUAUACUUAUAAUGCGAUCAUCAGGGGAAUGUGUAGAGGAGGGCUGAUUGAUCAAGCAUUUCAUUUUGUAAGGAGCUUGCCAGCAAAGGGCUGCAAACCAGAUGUAAUCUCGUACAACGUUUUGUUGAGGGCAUUAUUGAAUCAAGGGAAAUGGAAGGAUGGGGAGAAGCUGGUGGCUGAGAUGUUUUCAAGAGAUUGCGAACCCAAUGUGGUUACCUACAGCAUCCUGAUUAGUUGCCUGUGCCGAGAUGGAAAAUUGGACGAGUCACUUAACUUGCUGAGGGUCAUGAAAGACAAGGGUCUAAAUCCUGACACGUACACGUAUGAUCCGUUGAUUUCUGCAUUCUGCAGAGAAGGAAGGACGGAUUUGGCACUUGAAUUCAUGGAUUAUAUGAUUUGCAAUGGUUGCCUACCUGAUAUAGUGAACUACAACACUAUACUAUCUGCCAUGUGCAAGAAUGGAAAUGCUAAUCAGGCCUUGGAACUAUUUGGAGAUCUUCCACAAAUGGGUUGUCCUCCCGAUGUGAGCACUUACAACACCCUAUUGAGUGCAUUAUGGAACAUAGGAGAUAGAGCUAAGGCCUUGAGAUUGCUUUCUGAGAUGAUUGACAAAGGAACUGACCCUGAUGAAAUUACAUUCAAUUCACUUAUAUCAUGUUUCUGCAGAGAUGGAAUGGUGGAUGAAGCUAUCUGCUUGUUAACAGAUAUGGAAAGCAGUGGCUUCCCACCAACAGUAAUUACUUACAAUAUUGUACUUCUUGGAUUAUGCAAAGCUCACAGGAUAGAUGAUGCAAUUGAAGUGCUAGAGCAAAUGAUUCAAAAGGGCUGCCGCCCAAAUGAAACCACAUACAUUCUACUAAUUGAAGGAAUUGGCUUUGCAGGGUGGCAAGCUGUGGCUAUGGAGACAGCAAACUCUCUUCUGAAAAAGAACGCUAUCACAAAAGAAGCGUUCAAACGUUUGAAUAGAAUCUUUCCUAAGCUUGAUGAAGAUCUAUCUCUCGCAAAGAAGUAGGUUGGUGUGAUCUGUUGGUCGCUGGAUUUCGUCUUUGGAAUGUGUCCAUAAAAAUCUUGUAUUGCAUCAAGCGAGAAAAUCUAGUUUCUUGUAUGCUUCCUCUCUGUCACGAGGCAAUAAUUGUUAACACCAUUUUUAAGUGCGAGAUGUCUGUCCAAUUACUUUUCCACGAAGGAACUGACAACACCAUUGUUUCUAGGCACCCGCCCAAGGAAAUCUUCCUGUGUUACAUUCUGUAGAUGGCGCUUAAGAAAAGUGAUAGAAGAUUACAGUCAGUUUCACCCGAAAAUGCAGCUCAGGCCAACUUAUUUUAACUUCGUGUUUGAGGCAACCUCUGAACAUAUAGAGUCUGUGAAAACAUGUUUAUGCUGGCUGCCGAUCAUAUUUGCGUUGUAGUGUUGCACAAUGUGAUUGCACCAGAAGGCAGAAGCACCCUUAUCUGCAGUACUCUCAAAGAUCCAAUCAAUGCUUGUGCAAUCAACCAUCUGGUUCUUUCACUUUGCUCUUUUUCUUUUAAAAAAUUCCAUUUGGUUCAAUGUUUGUUUCCAAUUUUCUGUACCAGUUAAGCACAAAAAUUAGCAUGAUCCAAUCGAACUGAGUGAUUUAGGAUGCACCAAUUAAUUCUUAUAUUCACUAAUUGAAGAUUAGGCAAAUAUGUACCUAUUCUUGUUAUCUUGAACCGUUUAGUUCAAUGCAGUUGUACCACUUUACAAGCUUCCAAUCAUUUUACAUCCUAGAAGUAAUGCAUCAUCCAGCACGUACCACUGCUCCACCCUUGGCUGUCUUCUUCUUCAGCAUGCUCAAAUAUCAUUUUGAUAUAUGUUUUACUCCGCCAAUCCAUGCAAUCUUCAUUUAUUUAUUCUGUGCUCGAUCUUUGCUUGAGGAAAAAGUCGUCAUUUGCUGCAUCCACUUUACAAAACAAGGCAAAAAUGACACUGCAAAAAAACAUGUUUACAUAGAAUAAACCAAGGAAACUUUCUAGUCAAGGAAUCUGGCCAGUCAAAUCAUUAAAUCAAAACACCAAAAACAAGUUACACAAAUAAAAAUAACUCAAAAAACAUCUCAUUCAUACGAUCUAUUAAAUAUUUCAAAAAAUAUUUAUAAUAAAAGUUUUUCAUAUCCACUGCUAUAGUAAAAUUUUUCAAAAACACCAUCCAAAAACAGCUAAUUCAAACGGAGCCGUAUCUCUCCUAUCUGUGUAGCUGGUACACGUAAGCUGAUAAUUGGUUCUGAAGCCAAAAUUGUAAGAAACUCUAAAUAUUGCUGGGUCAAAUGAGGCAACUACAAUUAUUCUAGCUGAAAUUUUGGAUCAGCUUUAGGCAAUGAGGUGGCAUUUUAGUAACAGCUUAUUCCCCAACUCCUAGCCACACUGACAUCUUGCUUUGGCCAUGGGCUUAGUUAGCUCACAAUGCGAAGUCAAUUAGGCAAUCACAGCAAUGCUCGCCAGUCAUACAGUUCCGUGAUGUGUUAGCUAGGCAAAGAAACCGUUGGUACUUUACAUUGUAAAGCUCUUAGUUAUUAAACUAUCUAGUCUUGUAGUAACAUACAUUCCGCCAAGGAUUUUCACCAUGAUGCCAUCCUUCAAACUCCUGUCCCAUGUUGAAGUUCUAUCAUUAAAUAGCUUUGGAGUGAAUUUGGUUUCUAGAUCAACUCUCAAGGAUUAUGUUAAAUGAGCGGGUACUAAAACAACGAGAUUCCAAGCAGCCUGUGGCUGACAUGCAUGCAACAUUGGCUUGAUCAACAAAACUUAAAUGUCUCAUUUAUAGAAAUGGUUAAACCAACAUCCACGCGAGCACUAUGUUCAGGAAUUCAGUAAAAAGACUUGCAUUGAACAGAAGAUUAAAGGCAAUAUAUGUUAGAUACAGAGAAUUACAAUCCAUAAAGGAAAUGGACACAGCUCUAAUUCUAAAAAGUUUAAGCAUGGCAAGAUCAGCAAAAUUUUGAUUCCCAAGGCCCUUAUAGAAAUCAGUUCCACAAGAAGCGCAACCAAAAUAUGGAAAAUCUUUAACCCUCAUCUCAUGUUGUAUCCACGUAUUGCAUUUUGAAGGCCUUAUGGUCCUUCAUAAACCUCCCUAGCAUAAAAACCAUAAAAAAGCAUAAGCAGGGGAAGGAUUUUCAAGUCAUUAAAAUUCAACAUCUUGCAGCUUAAGUAUUCAGAGAGGAAUGACAGGAGCAACAAAGUGAAGAAAAACAAAUGAAAGAAUGAAAAAUCAAAUUUAGGAAACCAGAAUCAGGAUAAAUACAAAAACAAUGUUACAGAAAAAUACCAAGAGUUGUUGGGACAGUAUCUCCUGAUUGUAACAAACAAAAUCACAGAUUUCCUUUGCAUUGAAAAUUUUGAAAAUACUCACAAACUCAAUUAAAAGCAACAGCAGUUUAUAGUAAACAGCAUACAAGGCAUAUCAAGGAUCAGAUGCUCACCGUUAAUUGUUUGUAAGAAUAACAAAACCCUUUUGGAGUAAAUUCCUCGACAACUUGAUGUGAAUACUGUGACUCUGAGAUACAACAUGCCAGUGAUGAACCCAAUCAGGCAUAUGCUUGCUUUAGCGAAUCAGAGUUCUAUACCCUGAGGACCUUCCUUUCCCGCAAUUUCUGCCUCAACAUUUCAGCUUCUUCAAUUAGACCAGUGGCAGCUACUCCUUCAAUAAUGCUGGAAUAAAGAGUAGCAUGAUGCUUGCGUUUAUUUGACAUCAUCAUUUCAAGAACUUGUAUAGCUGUGUCAACUUUCUUUUUCUUACAUAGUCUGUGUAUAAUAAAUCUGUAACAAUUAUCUCUGAUCCUGUGUUUGAUAUUUCCCAUAACCUUUAAUAGUUCCACAGCCUCUUCAAGUAGAUCUGCCCUACAGAAACCCCAAAUCAGACAUCGAUAUGUAAUGUCAUCAGGAACAAUUCCCUGCUCUAUCAUAUGACCAUACAGUUCCAUGGCUUUUUCCAUCAAACCUUUCUUUGCCAACCCAUCAAUCAUGAUAUUGAAAGUAAUCAAACUAGGAGAAGUUGUGGUUUGGACUAAGCAAUAUAAAACUUGGAUAGCUUCAUCUAACAUUUCCUCUCUGAAAAGAGCACGUAUAAGGGUGUUAUAUGUGAUUAUAUCUGGAGAACAGUCCUUGGAAACCAUCUGAUCCAAAAAGUCUAUAGCAUGAUCGAGAAGCCCAUGCUUGCACAAACCAUUAAUCAGGAUAUUGUAAGUGAUUAAAGUAGGAGGGUGUGAUGUAUCAUUCAUGAGCAUGAGGAUUUCAUCAACUUCAACCCAACGCCCAUUGGAGCAAAGAGAAUGGAGAAGAGUAUUGUAUGUUACAGCAUUGGGCUCCAUUCCACGUGAUAAAAGAUUAUAAAUCACUAAAGCUGCAUCACCAAAGUUUCCUUGUUUACAAGUAAAACUUAUCAUAGAAUUGUAGGUAACAAGGUCCGGGUAACAUCCCUCGACAGCUAAAUCUUCCAUUACUUCUAUUGCUCUUACAACCCCACAGUACUUGCAGACUUGCUCAAUAAGGACCGUAUAAGUGAUGAGAUAAGGAGGACAUCCCCUUCUGAGUUGUUCCUUCCAAAACUGAAUGGCCUGAUCAAACCUACCACAAUCAAACAUGGCACGUACUAAUGUAUUGUAAGUAAUAACAUCUGGACAGCAACCACUCAUGCUCAUGUCUGCCAAGACAUCAAGAGCAGAUUUUAAUUGUCCCUUCCUACACAUACCACCAAUUAACAUGUUAUAUGUAAUAAUAUCUGGAAUCCCACCUGACAUCACCAUGAGUUCCAGGACCUUGACAGCUUUAUCUAGGCGAUCAAGAUUGACAAGACCCCUGAUCAAGUUUAUACAGGAAGAGAAAUUUGGAAUUUGGUUCCGACGCGCCAUCAGUUCAACUAAUUUUGAUGCAUCAAGCAAUCUCCCAUAGCCACAAAGGUUUUGAAGGAUUUCAUUGUUAGAUUUCUCAUCAUUCUCUAUAAGAGGUCCAUCAAAAGAAACCUUCAAAGAUUUGAGAUACUUCUUUGAGGAGCUCAUCUCAUGAUUGUCCAUUUUCUCAUUACUUUGGUUGCUAGUAGCAACCCUAUCUACACAAACCCCUAGCAGCUGGCUUCUACAUAUAAUAUCAGAAGCACUUCUUCUUGAACCAACAAAUCUGACCCACUGCAGAUGUGAUCGAGUCUUGCAAGUACACUUGACCGAAUAGCUAAUAUUUCUGAUUGGAAAACAAUGGUUUGUGCCAGAGAUGAUGUCUUUUUGGCUUAUUACUGAAUGCGACCCUUGCAGAUUGGGAAACUCAACCAUAGAUUUUUGUGGUACUAGCGAGUUAGCCAUUUCUUUCCACUAGACUGAUGCUAAAAAGAAAGUCAAUGAUGAGAUAUAUGCCAUUAACUUGACAAUCAGAAACCUUUCUUCAGGCCAAAACAGGCAAGCACAACCCUUUUCUUAUGAGCCGAGAUAUGCACUAAUUCAAACAACGAGAAGUAGCUCAGAAUAUGUUGCCUUUCCUCCAACUUAGAUCAAUACAACAAGCAGAUUCUAGGCUUUCUUUGACCUUUCCAGCCGAUUAGAAACCAAAAGAACAGGAAUGGACAUUAGAGUAGCAGAAAUUCCACAGCUUCUGAAAGCAAAAAAAAUUAAUUCAAAAGUUUGAGUUCCAACCAGUUUCAAGAUUCUAUAAAUUCCAAUGUAAAUAUUUGGAAGAUGCUUAAAAAGAAUCUGAAGGAAGAGCACAUGCAAUGAGAACUCUGCAACUUACCUGCGUACCAGUUUAAAAAUCUAAGUCAUACAAUUCAUGGUUUCUAAAUAGAGGGAAGUUUGGGCCAAAUUUACAAAAGCUCAUAUGUAAUGCAAAGAAACACUAGAAAAAUAUGCAAUAAUUGUUCACAGUGUACAGACGCGUCUUGAAGUGUACAAGAGUUUUUCAAAUUGUAAAGUGGCGAGAACUAAACUGGAUGGCUGAUUAUCAGAAAAGUUGAGGCAUCACAACCCCAUUGGCCUGGAAUUUUGCCACAAUUAGCUAAGAAAAAUGCCAGGACCGCAAUGUAAAAGCAUCACAUGUUUCACAACAAGAUGAAGGACUCAAAAUUAACAGGCAAUAUGAAACACAGUGAGAGAAAAAUGCGGAGGAAAACAUGAACACAAGCAAAUAACUUAAACAACCAGAUAGAAAACAAAAGAGAAGAUGUCCUAGACGUAAAAGAAUACACUCUUCAUUAUGGUCUCUCAUGGACAAAGAGUGUUGAUUGUUGUUUACCACAAAGAGAAACGAAUUUGAAAAAUUCCCCUUUGAAAUAAGCAUUUUCUCACCUCCAUUAGCCAUACAGAAAUUAUGCAACUUGAGACAAGAUUUCAAUUGCCGUAACAGAAACUCAUGUUCUUUCUCAUACCUUUAAUAUCUACACGGCACUAAGUAUCGCAUGAUAACUAGUUAACAUAGCAGCUGCAGAAAUCACUGAACUCAUCAUGUUCAAGUCAACAAACUCUAAUACUUCAAAUUCAACUCAAAAUUCAGGAGAUAGAACAGAACCCGAUAAAUCGAAUGUAAACUUGCAGCCAUUUGAAGUGACAAACACUCUUUAUCCCGACAAAAAUGCUCCGGCAGGGAAAAGAGCAAUGGCUGAAAAACCGCCCACCCCACAAAAGAAUGGAGAGAAAGUCUCACACACAUCCAAAAGCAUUAACAAGAUUAGCUUCUUGCUUCAAAAAUGAAAACAAAUAUCUAAAAGAGACAGUUUGCAUUUGCACACAAACAACACAGGCCGGUGAACUAGAAAAAUGAAAGAAGAAAACCAAGAAAAAUCAAGAAAAAAAGACCUCAAACAUCACGUUACAGUUAAUAUAUUAAGAACGACCGAAGAAUAAAAUUCAUAGAGAAAAUCUCACCGGUAGGAGUAACUUUUUGUGCCAUAUACAGAAGUAUCGAACAGCGUAGAAAAGCGCUGCCUUUGGGCUUGUGCCCAAAAAGAGUCAGCAGAGGACGCUAAUUACUACACUAGGGUUGAAUUAGAUGAAUUUGCAUUUACUCCUUCUUUUCUAGUAAAUUUUCUAAAUAUGCCCACAAGUCUUUCAAUUGCACAUAAUGCCCUUAUUCUUUUAACGCACUUUAAAAGAGCCUCCAAAACAAAAUAACAAUAAUAAUAAUAAUAAUAAUUAAUAAGACAGCAUAGGAUGGUGGAAGAAUCAAAAGUAAGGAUGCUAAUGUGGUUGGAUUGCAUUUUUCAUGAUUUUUCAUAGAAAAAAUACUGUAGCGAUUUGAUGUAUGUGAGGGAAAAAGGUAAUAGGGAAAUGUGAUCACAGAAAAUAACGUAAUUUUUUGACGAAAAACAGCAAUUCAAACAAAGCUAGUUUGACUCACUGUUGCUCAAAAUUAGUUCAACAAAUUCAAGAUUGAAUAAUUUCAAAACAUUUUGAAUAAUUCUCAAUCUCGAUUUGAAUUUGGUUCAAUAAACAUUACAAUUAAACGAAUAAUUUGGUUCAAUGAGCAUUACAAAUUAAUCAAAUUUUCAGUUUAACGAACACGUUUUUAAGUACGAUUUCGUAAAAACGAGCUCCAAUCUAUGAAUUAAACACAAUUCAGUGAUCUACGGAAAACAAUCAACUAUAUAAUAUGUGUUGUAGGAAACUGCUAGGAAGGGCACACAAAUUGGGCAGGUUAAUAAGGAGGCUGCAAAUUUCGUGUUUUUCAUAUUUGAUGACAAAAUUGACCAAUGGGAGUACACACACAUUCUCAACAUGAUUCGGUACGUAAUCUAUUUCCUCGCGAGUCGCGAGUGUACGCUUUCCAUUUCUAAGGCAAGGUACGGACACUGGGAGGAAAAAAAAAAUUUAUAUACCACGGAAGAAUAUAUAUUAUUAUAUCUAAGGCCGCUAAAUACGAUUCGAGUGGUUUUGCUUAGUCUUCUUGGGUCCAAGAAGAAAGAUGAUGGCGUCGACGACUAUGGAGAGUGCGUUCCUCAAAAUUCCAUCUUUCGGAUUCGUAAACCCUAAUAUUGCUACUAGUAAACUUGUCAGUCGGAGCUCCGUUUCACUCCGCUUCGGGUUCCACUUUCGUUCCUGCGCCAUAUCCUCUGCUUCAGCAGCAGAACCUGCUUCC